CCUACGGGGGGCUGCAGUGGGGAAUAUUGGACAAUGGGGGAAACCCUGAUCCAGCAAUGCCGCGUGUGUGAAGAAGGCCUGCGGGUUGUAAAGCACUUUCGGUUGGGAAGAAAAGUUUGGCGCCAAUACCGCCGAACCUUGACGUUACUGCCAGAAGAAGCACCGGCUAACUCUGUGCCAGCAGCCGCGGUAAUACAGAGGGUGCAAGCGUUCAUCGGAAUCGCUGGGCGGAAAGCGUAAGUCGGUGGUCAAAUCCCCGGGCUUAACCUGGGAACUGCAUUCGAUACUACAUGGCUAGAGUAUGGUAGAGGGAAGUGGAAUUUCCGGUGUAGCGGUGAAAUGCGUAGAUAUCGGAAGGAACACCAAUGGCGAAGGCAGCUGCCUGGACUAAUACUGACACUGAGGCACGAAAGCGUGGGUAGCAAACAGGAUUAGAUACCCCUGUAGUC
rnacentral:rRNA from 1 species